CAGUCGCCACGGGAAUACGUAGGGUGCGAGCGUUAAUCGGAAUUACUGGGCGUAAAGCGUGCGCAGGCGGUUAUAUAAGACAGAUGUGAAAUCCCCGGGCUCAACCUGGGACCUGCAUUUGUGACUGUAUAGCUAGAGUACGGUAGAGGGGGAUGGAAUUCCGCGUGUAGCAGUGAAAUGCGUAGAUAUGCGGAGGAACACCGAUGGCGAAGGCAAUCCCCUGGACCUGUACUGACGCUCAUGCACGAAAGCGUGGGGAGCAAACAGGAUUAGAUACCCCCGUAGUCCCUGUCUCUUAUAA
rnacentral:rRNA from 1 species